rnacentral:rRNA from 1 species
GACAGAGGAUGCAAGCGUUAUCCGGAAUGAUUGGGCGUAAAGCGUCUGUAGGUGGCUUUUUAAGUCCGCCGUCAAAUCCCAGGGCUCAACCCUGGACAGGCGGUGGAAACUACCAAGCUGGAGUACGGUAGGGGCAGAGGGAAUUUCCGGUGUAGCGGUGAAAUGCUUAGAUAUCGUCAAGAACACCGAUAGCGAAGGCAGCUUACUAGACUGUAACUGACGCUGAUGCACGAAAGUGUGGGGAUCAAACAGG